rnacentral:rRNA from 1 species
AGUGAACGCUGGCGGUAGGCCUAACACAUGCAAGUCGAACGGCAGCACAGUAAGAGCUUGCUCUUACGGGUGGCGAGUGGCGGACGGGUGAGGAAUACAUCGGAAUCUACUUUUUCGUGGGGGAUAACGUAGGGAAACUUACGCUAAUACCGCAUACGACCUACGGGUGAAAGCAGGGGAUCUUCGGACCUUGCGCGAUUGAAUGAGCCGAUGUCGGAUUAGCUAGUUGGCGGGGUAAAGGCCCACCAAGGCGACGAUCCGCAGCUGGUCUGAGAGGAUGAUCAGCCACACUGGAACUGAGACACGGUCCAGACUCCUACGGGAGGCAGCAGUGGGGAAUAUUGGACAAUGGGCGCAAGCCUGAUCCAGCCAUACCGAGUGGGUGAAGAAGGCCUUCGGGUUGUAAAGCCCUUUUGUUGGGAAAGAAAAGCAGCAGGUUAAUACCCCGCUGUUCUGACGGUACCCAAAGAAUAAGCACCGGCUAACUUCGUG